GUUGAACGCUGGCGGCAGGCUUAACACAUGCAAGUCGAGCGGAGAUGAGGUGCUUGCACCUUAUCUUAGCGGCGGACGGGUGAGUAAUGCUUAGGAAUCUGCCUAUUAGUGGGGGACAACAUUCCGAAAGGAAUGCUAAUACCGCAUACGCCCUACGGGGGAAAGCAGGGGGUCUUCGGACCUUGCGCUAAUAGAUGAGCCUAAGUCGGAUUAGCUAGUUGGUGGGGUAAAGGCCUACCAAGGCGACGAUCUGUAGCGGGUCUGAGAGGAUGAUCCGCCACACUGGGACUGAGACACGGCCCAGACUCCUACGGGAGGCAGCAGUGGGGAAUAUUGGACAAUGGGCGGAAGCCUGAUCCAGCCAUGCCGCGUGUGUGAAGAAGGCCUUUUGGUUGUAAAGCACUUUAAGCGAGGAGGAGGCUACUAGUAUUAAUACUACUGGAUAGUGGACGUUACUCGCAGAAUAAGCACCGGCUAACUCUGUGCCAGCCGCCGCCGUAACAC
rnacentral:rRNA from 1 species